GACGUAGGGCGCGAGCGUUGUCCGGAUUUAUUGGGCGUAAAGAGCUCGUAGGCGGUUCGUCGCGUCGGCUGUGAAAUCCCGAGGCUCAACCUCGGGUCUGCAGUCGAUACGGGCGGACUGGAGUUCGGUAGGGGAGACUGGAAUUCCUGGUGUAGCGGUGAAAUGCGCAGAUAUCAGGAGGAACACCCGGUGGCGAAGGCGGGUCUCUGGGCCGAUACUGACGCUGGAGGAGCGAAAGCGUGGGGAGCGAACAGG
rnacentral:rRNA from 1 species